rnacentral:lncRNA from 1 species
CAGGCCGGUCGUCUUGCGAAUUGACAAAAUGCUACAAUCAUGCACUGCCACUGAACUGCUGCUUGAUGAGUAAAGGCCAAUGCUAUUGCCGCUGCGUGGCGGCUAAUACCCAAUGCAAGUCCGAGUGGGCCUCGACUUGUGGCGCCAGAGCCACACCGGCUUGCACUGUUCAAGCGGGAAGAACGCUUUGCAAGUGCAUACCAGGCCAUCCACUACCAGCACUUGUGCCUAGUACUGGUUCUGGGAAACCAGGAGG